GUUCAUAACCCUUUGUUGUCCGACUCUGUUGCCUCCGGGGCGACCCUGCCUUCGGGCGGGGGCUCCGGGUGGACACUUCAAACUCUUGCGUAACUUUGCAGUCUGAGUAAACUUAAUUAAUAAAUUAAAACUUUUAACAACGGAUCUCUUGGUUCUGGCAUCGAUGAAGAACGCAGCGAAAUGCGAUAAGUAAUGUGAAUUGCAGAAUUCAGUGAAUCAUCGAAUCUUUGAACGCACAUUGCGCCCCCUGGUAUUCCGGGGGGCAUGCCUGUUCGAGCGUCAUUUCACCACUCAAGCCUCGCUUGGUAUUGGGCAACGCGGUCCGCCGCGUGCCUCAAAUCGACCGGCUGGGUCUUCUGUCCCCUAAGCGUUGUGGAAACUAUUCGCUAAAGGGUGUUCGGGAGGCUACGCCGUAAAACAACCCCAUUUCUAAGGUUGACCUCGGAUCAGGUAGGGAUAC
rnacentral:rRNA from 1 species